rnacentral:rRNA from 1 species
AUUGAACGCUGGCGGCAGGCCUAACACAUGCAAGUCGAACGGUAACAGGAAGAAGCUUGCUUCUUUGCUGACGAGUGGCGGGCGGGUGAGUAAUGUCUGUGAAACUGCCUGAUGGAGGGGGUUAACUACUGGAAACGGUAGCUAAUACCGCAUAACGUCGCAAGACCAAAGAGGGGGACCUUCGGGCCUCUUGCCAUCGCAUGUGCCCAGAUGGGAUUAGCUAGUAGGUGGGGUAAAGGCUCACCUAGGCGACGAUCCCUAGCUGGUCUGAGAGGAUGACCAGCCACACUGGAACUGAGACACGGUCCAGACUCCUACGGGAGGCAGCAGUGGGGAAUAUUGCACAAUGGGCGCAAGCCUGAUGCAGCCAUGCCGCGUGUAUGAAGAAGGCCUUCGGGUUGUAAAGUACUUUCAGUGGGGAGGAAGGGAGGAAAGUUAAUACCUUUGCGCAUUGACGUUACCCGCAGAAGAAGCACCGGCUAACUCCGUG